GAUGAAGAACGCAGCGAAAUGCGAUAAGUAGUGUGAAUUGCAGAAUUCCGUGAAUCAUCGAAUCUUUGAACGCACAUUGCGCCUUCUGGUAUUCCGGAAGGCAUGCCUGUUCGAGAGUCAUUAACAACCGUUUCGAUCCCUUUCUUUCAGAAAUUACAAAGAGGAAAAGGGUUUGGUUAUGGUGGAGGAGGGAAAGGGAGCGUUUAGCCUGUAAAAAAAGAGGCUGUGUUCCGCCUCCCCCCCAAAAUUGUACAGGCGGUCGUGUGCGCCCACGCAUCGAGGUGUUGUAAAAGCUGCCACGGCACUUUUCACCUGUGCAGUGCGAGAUUGGCCAGCCGGUUUAAAAACCCCUCCAAACAAUCAAAGGUUGACCUCGGAUCAGGUAGGGAUACCCGCUGAACUUAAGCAUAUCAAUAACGGAGGA
rnacentral:misc_RNA from 1 species